GGCGCUUUGGCGGAGUGGUUAUCGCGUGGCACUAGAAUCUUGCAUUCUAGAGUACUUUCUACUCAACAAUAUAUGCCAUUCCCUCUGGGAGCAUAGGUUCAAAUCCUGUAGGCGUCG
rnacentral:tRNA from 1 species